GGGCUGCAACCAGGAAUAUUGCGCAAUGGACGAAAGUCUGACGCAGCGACGCCGCGUGGAGGACGAAGGCCCUAGGGUCGUAAACUCCUUUUGCCAAGCUCUUCACGGCUUGGCGAAUAAGCCUCUACUAACUACGUGCCAGAAGUCUCGGUAAUACGUAGGAGGCAAGCGUUAUCCGGAUUCAUUGGGCGUAAAGUGUGCGUAGGCGUCUUGGAUAGUCGUACUUUAAAGACCGAGGCUCAACCUCGGAAAUGGGUACGAUACUUCUAAGAUUGAGGAAUGACAGGGAUGCUGGAACAGUUAGUGUAGCAGUGAAAUGCGUUGAUAUUAACUGGAACACCAAAGGCGAAGGCAGGCAUCUGGGUUUUUCCUGACGCUGAGGCACGAAAGCGUGGGGAGCAAACAGGAUUAGAUACCCUGGUAGUC
rnacentral:rRNA from 1 species